rnacentral:rRNA from 1 species
UGGGGAAUUUUGGACAAUGGGCGCAAGCCUGAUCCAGCAAUGCCGCGUGAGUGAAGAAGGCCUUCGGGUUGUAAAGCUCUUUUGUCAGGGAAGCGGUACCUGAAGAAUAAGCACCGCCUAACUACGUGCCAGCAGCCGCGGUAAUACGUAGGGUGCAAGCGUUAAUCGGAAUUACUGGGCGUAAAGCGUGCGCAGGCGGUUUUGUAAGUCUGUCGUGAAAUCCCCGGGCUCAACCUGGGAAUUGCGAUGGAGACUGCAAGGCUAGAAUCUGGCAGAGGGGGGUAGAAUUCCACGUGUAGCAGUGAAAUGCGUAGAGAUGUGGAGGAACACCGAUGGCGAAGGCAGCCCCCUGGGUCAAGAUUGACGCUCAUGCACGAAAGCGUGGGGAGCAAACAGGAUUAGAUACCCGAGUAGU